rnacentral:rRNA from 1 species
AACGAACGCUGGCGGCAUGCCUAACACAUGCAAGUCGAACGAGACCUUCGGGUCUAGUGGCGCACGGGUGCGUAACGCGUGGGAACCUGCCCUUAGGUUCGGAAUAACUCCCCGAAAGGGGUGCUAAUACCGGCUCAUGUCCUCGGACCAAAGAUUUAUCGCCUUUGGAUGGGCCCGCGUUGGAUUAGCUAGUUGGUAGGGUAAAAGCCUACCAAGGCGACGAUCCAUAGCUGGUCUGAGAGGAUGAUCAGCCACACUGGGACUGAGACACGGCCCAGACUCCUACGGGAGGCAGCAGUGGGGAAUAUUGGACAAUGGGCGAAAGCAUGAUCCAGCAAUGCCGCGUGAGUGAUGAAGGCCUUAGGGUUGUAAAGCUCUUUUACCCGGGAUGAUAAUGACAGUACCGGGAGAAUAAGCUCCGGCUAACUCCGUG